GCUUUUCCCAAAGACCGGGAGAGGAUUUUAAGGACAUAGAUGGAAGCUUCUGGAGAUCCUGCUCCGUCGCCCCAGUGUUCAGACUACCUGUUCAGGACAAUGCCGUUGUACAGUAGUCUGCACAUUGGUUAGACUGGGCAAGGGAGAGCAGCGCCAUGGACAGCUGGAGACAAAGUUGCUGUUUCCAAGGAGAAGACAUUUGCUAGCUCCUUUUUCAAAUCUCAUAUCCAGUGUUUUUCUUCACAGGUUUUGCACACUAGGGACGAAGAAGCCCGCUCGGACACUGCUGAAACAGGACUGCUCCAGGGAAGACCUGCGGGGAACAUGGGAUCUAUUCCAGAGGAAACUAACCAACAGUGAACAUCUUCAACUAAAACUACCCCUGGAUAUGAUGGGAAGUGUUGCAUGCAUCAUUCCUUUAAUUGAGCAGUUAACUGGAUCAAAUUAUUUAUGGGAGAGAGAGGGAAAGCUAUACAGAAUUAUAGUAAUUUUUAAUUUCCACCAAUAUACUCUUUGUAAGUGAAUUACUCUAUAAAUGUUUUCUGUUGCAAUGAAUGCAGCAACAAUAACAAAAUAGUUUCUUAAGGUAUUUGUUUUUGCAUACUCUGACCUUGUAAUUAUUUAAAUAGCAGCCAAGUUUACUGAUGUUUUUGAUUCUGCCAAGAAAAAAAAAGUCCUCUACUCAGAAGUGAUGACCAGAAAUAGAAUCAGACAUUUAUUUUCUUGAAAUUAAAUAAAUAAAUGGAAAAUUGCACUUCUCUUUGUUAAAACUGUACCAUAUCUAAUCACUGCAUAAAAGUUCAGAUGCGUAGAAAACUGUCAUUUUUUUCUCAGUUUCUAAAAACUAUUUUACUCUCCAUAAAGUUUCUAUUUGCUAUUUUCUCAGAAUUUUACAAUUAAAGGGAAAAAACAAACUGUUUAUUUUCUUUAAAAUUCUUUUAAAAAAUUCCUAAGUACACACUCCUUGAAUAACGUUUUGUUUUGUUUUUUAAGAAAUCCCACUUAUUGGAAUUUUGACUGUCUGGAUAUUUUGUUUUUUAAAUGACAGGGGAAUUUGUUCAACACCUCUGCGGACGUGAAUUGAUCAUUUAUAUUCAAAUAGCCAGUAGAAUUAUUCUCGACUCAUCUGAAUUAAAUUUUUUAUCUGUAUAUUUAACACCAUUAACUCUUUCUUAUACAAAUUAUAAGGGAAUUUUCCAAAGGGUCUGGUUUUACUUUUUGGAUAUGAAAUGAAGUUUCCUUUUCUGUGUUUAAAGUUCUAUUUUGUAACUGUAUUGCACUAACAAUGUCCAAAACACGUUCUGCGCAUCACCAUGGGUAUCGACUUCUUAGUGUAUACCCUUUACAUUCAUGGCACGGCCCUGGAGUUAAUUAAGAGGAAAACUUAGGCUCACAACUGCUUUUUAUUUGGUUUUCACAUCCAUACUUAAAAACUUUGCAUUAAAAAGAAUAUGAGAAAUUUAAACUCCUGUUGCUUAAUAAAGUAUUGGUAAAAAUACAUCCCCUUGUAAAAUCCCACUAUCAAAGCAUCAGAUACCAGUGUCAGCUGGUUGAAUUGCCAAAUACAUUAGGCUCAUUAAUUAUUUUGAAAAUGGCUGCCGUUUCCAUGUAAAUGACAACUUGCUUUUUCAUGGGCAAGGUUAUGGUACUUAUCUACUACAAGAAACAUGUAUAAACAUAGUCUUUAUCUUUAACUUCAGUUUUAAAAUAUGCAGAGUUUCGUGAAGAGGAAAAACAUCUGGUUCAAUUACUCUGAACUCUGACUGCAUGUGGGCCAGUAAUAACACGAAUUGGAUUUAAGAAUAAACCUUGUGUUUAAUCUUUUUUUGUUUUUUCCUUAAACUUUCAAUGUGAGUUUUCUGUUACAUCAGUUAUCCCUGUUAGCACAUUUGGAACAAAUGUAUAAGUGUACUUUCUGAAUAAAGUCAAAAGUCUAACUUGUUUUUAGUUCCAUAAUGUUUUAAUGUUUAAUUCUAUUGUGUGUUUUUCUCCCUUUCCCCUAACCCUCCAAAAUCACCAAAUCUGGAAAACAGACUGAUUCUAUCUGCCCAUGAGCAAAGGAAACCCGAAGGAACCAAGGGCCUGGCUGGACGGAGUUGUCAUGUGUCUGCCUGUCUACACUUGCUGUGCAGAACAUCCGCUCACCUGUACAGCAGGCACAGACAGGCAGUCACAUGACAACCCAGCCUGAAUGACAACCAGCCAUUGAAAGAAAGCAGCCCUCACACCAUAGCAUCUACACCAAGAGCUACAACCAAAAUGAGGGGCGCGGGGGCCUGGGGUUUUAAUCUGUUGGUUUAAUACUUAACUCGUAUGUAUUAUUAUUAUUAUUUUAUUUUGAUUCAAAUAUUGAAACCCACCAAAAUUAAAGUGAGUGGUGCCUAUGAAAUAUAAUAAAACCCAUUUCUGAAAAUGUU